rnacentral:rRNA from 1 species
UACGGAGGGGGGCUAGCGUUGUUCGGAAUUACUGGGCGUAAAGCGCACGUAGGCGGCUUUGUAAGUUAGAGGUGAAAGCCCAGGGCUCAACCCUGGAAUUGCCUUUAAGACUGCAUCGCUUGAACAUCGGAGAGGUAAGUGGAAUUCCGAGUGUAGAGGUGAAAAUUCGUAGAUAUUCGGAAGAACACCAGUGGCGAAGGCGACUUACUGGACGAUUGUUGACGCUGAGGUGCGAAAGCGUGGGGGAGCAAACAGG